AUUGAACGCUGGCGGCAUGCCUUACACAUGCAAGUCGAACGGUAACGGGCCUUCGGGUGCCGACGAGUGGCGAACGGGUGAGUAAUACAUCGGAACGUGCCCGAUCGUGGGGGAUAACGAGGCGAAAGCUUUGCUAAUACCGCAUACGAUCUACGGAUGAAAGCAGGGGACCGCAAGGCCUUGCGCGGACGGAGCGGCCGAUGGCAGAUUAGGUAGUUGGUGGGAUAAAAGCUUACCAAGCCGACGAUCUGUAGCUGGUCUGAGAGGAUGAUCAGCCACACUGGGACUGAGACACGGCCCAGACUCCUACGGGAGGCAGCAGUGGGGAAUUUUGGACAAUGGGCGCAAGCCUGAUCCAGCCAUGCCGCGUGCAGGAUGAAGGCCUUCGGGUUGUAAACUGCUUGUGUACGGAACGAAAAGCCUUCUUUUAAUACAGGAGGGUCAUGACGGUACCGUAAGAAUAAGCACCGGCUAACUACGUG
rnacentral:rRNA from 1 species